AUAUUUGUGGGAUAAGAUAGCAAGUUUAUAAAUACUUUACACAAAGGGAUCCGCAACAUGGGAAUUUUAGCGGAGUUGAAGAAUCAUGCAGACAUGACUAAACUUGAAAGUUUCAAUUACUGGAUUACCUUUUUUGGAUUUAUGAUAUUAGACUUAUGUCGCUAUCAUGUGAAAUAAAGAUGAUAAAAUA
rnacentral:lncRNA from 1 species